rnacentral:rRNA from 1 species
ACUCGCCUCGCAUGAGGUCGGAAUUGCUAGUAAUCGCGGAUCAGCAUGCCGCGGUGAAUACGUUCUCGGGCCUUGUACACACCGCCCGUCACACCAUGGGAGUCGGUAACACCCGAAGUCUGUAGCCUGACGCAAGGAGGGCGCAGCCGAAGGUGGGAUUGAUGACUGGGGUGAAGUCGUAACAAGGUAAC